AAUCGGUUCUACGGCACAGCCGACGUGUCGGCAAUCGCAGUGACCGAGGGAGAUGCGCCACGCUCAUAGAGUGAAAAAUCAAUGUGGUGGGUAGAGUUUGGUAGGUCCUUCAUGGAUUCGAAGAAGUCAGACCCC
rnacentral:ncRNA from 1 species